rnacentral:lncRNA from 1 species
ACUUCAAAUUGAUAAUCGGCACCGUUGAAAUUGAUCUACACAAUUAGAAAUGUUUAGAAACCAAAUUUUGUAAUAUUUAAAAAUCAUUAUCAAGUUCAUCUUAAGAGUUAAAAAAUGAACGGUCAUAAAUGAAUAACCUUCUUAAAAUAGAGGUUAGACUUUCUCAAUUCAUAAUCAGAGUUAUCAAACAUUAUCUAAAUAGUAUAAAGAAUUUUCUAUCAAAAAUUCAAGCAAUUUGGAUUGCUCUACACCGUUAAACAAGCAAACGGCUCAUACAGGCCGUAAAAAAUUGUCGAUUUUACGAC